rnacentral:rRNA from 1 species
UACGAAGGGGGCUAGCGUUGCUCGGAAUCACUGGGCGUAAAGGGUGCGUAGGCGGGUCUUUAAGUCAGGGGUGAAAUCCUGGAGCUCAACUCCAGAACUGCCUUUGAUACUGAAGAUCUUGAGUUCGGGAGAGGUGAGUGGAACUGCGAGUGUAGAGGUGAAAUUCGUAGAUAUUGGGAAGAACACCGGUGGCGAAGGCGGCCAUCUGGACCGGAACUGACGCUGAGGCGCGAAAGCGUGGGGAGCAAACAGG